UCGGCGGCGUCGGCGUGAUGGGGAUGGCGGGCGACUGGGGCAGCGUGGAGCUCGCCCGCUUCUACACCGUCUCCGACAAGGGCCGCUCGCUCUUCGCCGUCACCGCUCACGUAUUUACCCACGACAGCUAACCACCACUACCACCACCACCCCUCCUCCCUACACCGCGCGCAUCUUUUACACAUCGUGUCAAGGUCAAAUGCCGAAGAUGUCUUUAAGGGCGGUUUGACCCACGCCUGAUUGAGGAGCGACGCCAGCGCGCAGAGGACCUCUUGCAGUUCUCAGUCACCGUCUCCGCGCUUCACCAGAGCCACGAGAUCCGUGUGUUUUUCCAAGGAGGCGUCGGCCAAACUUGUGCGCCAUUGCAGAGGGUGACGACUCGCAACGGCCUGUGGCUGCCCCUGGUGCCACCUCUUGGCCCGGGUCCCAGUCCUGGGACUGACCAGGGCUGGUACUCUGGCCAUGGCCUGGAGCAUGUGUCCAGAGUGACCAGAUUAUCGGGAAGGACGGCCACAGAGACUCGUGAAAGCCCUCGGCUGCCGCAUGAUGGAACCGGUGCUCAGACUCCUGGUAUGGUCUCUGGGCUACAGCACAAUGCCUUAGCAUUUCAUAUCAUGUAUGUAUCUAUGACCAAAUCAUGUGGAAUGCACCUGACCUCAUCAGAUUACAGAAGCCGGUUUGAGCGUGGAUCGUUGAUGUUUGGUUAAUCACAGUGUGCAUCAGGGUGUUUUUGGCUGUGGGGCCAUGUGGUGAACAGCAGAGGGCAAUGUGGCAAAAUCCAUCCGAGUAAUGUAUUUUAGCCAUAGGAGUUUUUUUGGGUUCCGUGUUAAUGUAUUUUAAAUGCUCCUACAGCUAUGCUCCCUACCUUCCACCCAUACAGAGGGGCUUGGUGAAGUAUGGUUAAAUGACCCCCAUUGACAUUAUUUCAGCAGCAAUUCUGCAUUAUCACCUCUUCUGGAGCCGUUCUUUGACACAGGGUCAUGCACUGCGAGCUGCAGAGUUCCUAUUGGAAAUGUUGGCAUGACAGAUACUUAGGGUGCAAGUGGAAUAUAUUUUUUUUGGAAAAAGUAAAAUAAAUAAAAGGUGAGUUAAGCAUGCUUCCGUUUGCUAUUUUCUCUUUUGUUCACCUGGCAUUUGAGAGAGCCAUCAAUGUCAGGCUUAUCUAUAUAUAUAAAAUCGUGAAUGUCUGUCUGUCUGUCUGUGUGUGUGUGGAUUUCGGACCAUACGCACUUUCAUUGGACGGCGGUUGCCCCUGGCAACAGCUAGCGACGCCUUCGCCGCUUUCAUUGGACCUGGCAACGGCUAGCGACGCCUUCGCCAAGGGCUGCACUUUCAUUGGACGGCGGUUGCCCCUGCCAACGGCUAGCCACGCCUUCGCCACUUUCAUAGGCUUCGUAAAUAAUUAAAUAAUAGCCAUUUCACAGUAUUGUUCGAGCGCUAGGGGCGGGGGGAAAGAACGCCACCCGUACCCAGCGUUCGCCGGGUGGGAAAAUCAGGCGAGGCGGGAGGCUCUGCACGGUGCUAGGCCUCGACACCCACCACGCCACUCUGAGGUAAAUUCAUACAAAUUUCACGUCCUCUACAGAGUGGUGAGGGAGGCAGAGUGGCGAGGGAGGAACUCAGCCUCAAAACGAGUAACUGGUGUGGCGUAUUAACAUCGCCACUGGGGAGACAAAGGCGGCCGGCCGUGCUGGAUCCAAGUCCCGGGCAAAGCCGGGUCAUGUCUAUGUGUGUAUGUGUUUAUGUGUAUGUCUGUGCGUCUGUAUGUAUGUGUGUAUGUAUGUGUGUGUAUGUGUUUGUGUGUAUGUAUGUGUGUGUAUGUAUGUGGGUUUUUUUGUACGUGUUUAUGUGUAUGUCUGUGUGUCUGAAUGUAUGUGUCUAUGUACGUGUGUGUAUGUGUUUCUGUGUAUGUAUGUGUGUGUUUGUGUGUAUGUCUGUGUGUAUGUAUGCGUGUGUAUGUGUGUGUAUGUGUUUGUGUGUUUGUAUGUGUGUGUGUAUGGAUGUGGGUUUUUUUGUAUGUGUUUAUGUGUAUGUCUGCGUGUCUGUAUGUAUGUGUGUAUGUACGUCUGUGGAUGUGUUUGUGUGUAUGUAUGUGUGUGUCUAUGUAUUGUGUGUAUGUGUUUCUGUGUAUGUAUCUGUGUGUAUGUAUGUGUGUUAUGUGUCUGUGUGUCUGCAUGUAUGUGUGUGUGCAUUGUCUAUGUUUUUGUGUGUAUGUAUGUGUGUGUUUGUGUGUAUGUGUGUGUAUAGAUGUGUGUGUAUGUCUUUGUAUGUGUUUCUGUGUUUAUGCUCGCAUUACACAAAUGUGUUGCAGGUCUAAGGCGUUCCUCGCGCAGCAUUGCCGCUUUCUUUUUUCAGUUUUUACUGCCGUACGCACCCUGACAGUCGUGUGUGUCUGCAGCAAGCGCGUGUAUGUGUAGCUAUGGACGCGCGCGCGUGUGUUGUGUAGGGGGAACGGUAGUGUAGUGCUUAGCGUGCUAUCUGUGUCUGUGUGUGUGUCUGUGUGUGUGCGUGUGUGGUGUGUGGGGAGCGGUAGUGUAGUGCUUAGCGUGCUGUCUGUGUGUCUGUGUGUGUGUGUCUGUCUGUGUCUGUCUGUGUGUGUCUGCGUGUGUCUGUCUGUGUGUGUCUGCGUGUGUCUAUGUGUGUGUGUCUGUGUGUGUAUCUGUGCGUGUGUCGUGUGUGAGGAGCGGUGGGUGUAGUGGUUAACGCUACGCUGCGCUACCAACCCGGCGAACCGAGUUCGAUUCCCGCUCAUGGCCACCCCCGGUCAAGAUUAUUUGAACCUCCCCUAGGUCGACUCAGCCUCAAACGAGUAACUGGUGUGGCGUAUUAACAUCGGCACUGGGGAGACAAAGGCGGCCGAGCGUGGUGGAUCCAAGUCCCGGGCGAGGCCGGGUCAUGUGUAUGUGUGUAUGUGUUUAUGUGUAUGUCUGCGUGUCUGUAUGCAUGUGUGUAUGUAUGUGUGUGUAUGUGUUUGUGUGUAUGUAUGUGUGUGUGUAUGUACGUGCGUUUUUUUGUAUGUGUUUAUGUGUAUGUCUGCGUGUCUGUAUGUAUGUGUGUAUGUACGUCUGUGGAUGUGUUUGUGUGUAUGUAUGUGUGUGUCUAUGUAUUGUGUGUAUGUGUUUCUGUGUAUGUAUCUGCGUGUAUGUAUGUGUGUUAUGUGUCUGUCUGUGUGUCUGCAUGUAUGUGUGUGUGUAUUGUCUAUGUUUUUGUGUGUAUGUAUGUGUGUUUGUGUGUAUGUGUAUGUCUGUGUGUAUGUAUGUGUGUGUAUGUGUUUGUGUGUAUGUGUGUGUAUGUAUGUGUAUGUAUGUGUUUGUAUGUGUUUGUGUGUUUACGCUCGCAUUACACAAAUGUGUUUGCAGGUCUAAGGCGUUCCUCGCGCAGCAUUGCCGCUUUCUUUUUUCAGUCGUUUACUGCCGUACGCACCCUGAAAGUCGUGUGUGUCUGCAGCAAGCGCGUGUAUGUGUACCUAUGGACGCGCGCGCGUGUGUUGUGUAGGGGGAACGGUAGUGUAGUGCUUAGCGUGCUGUCUGUGUCUGUGUGUGUGUGUCUGUGUGUGUGUCUGUGCGUGUGUGGUGUGUGAGGAGCCGUGGGUUUAGUGGUUAACGCUACGCUGCGCUACAAACCCGGCGAACCGAGUUCCAUUCCCGCUCACGGCCACCACCGGUGACGAUUAUUUGAACCUCCCCUAGGUCGACUCAGCCUCAAACGAGUAACUGGUGUGGCGUAUUAACAUCGCCACUGGGGAGACAAA